UACAUCACAUCUAACUCUAGAGUAAACUCUGUGUCUACAUUAACACGUUUCCCGUGGCAGCAGAGUCUUGUCUCCCAUGCUUGCCCCCUUGCAAGCUCCACUCAGGCACGUAGGCCUUUUUCUCACGCUCACCAGGCUGGCCCCACAUCAAGGCCCACAUUGCACGGAUUGGAGCCUUUGCAAAUUCCUGUGCAGCCUGCCACGAGUUCCUGAGGGUGGGGCUUGCUAGGGGUGCUGAGAAUUGAUGGGAUCACCAGCCAGUCCAGAUGCUGGAAGAGUAGCCAGCAGGUUCCCCAGCUGCCUGUCUCAUUGCCCUGAGAGGCAGUUAGGUGGUUGCAGAGAGACAGGUCCUAAAGGUUUGGUGACGAAAGAAUUGGAAACCAGGGGGCUAAGACUCUCCAGGAGCCGAAGCAUCGGUCCCCUGGCUCAAGCCUCUUUUAUUUUUGCAAAUUACCUGAUAACAGCGAGCACAUACAACAUAGCAUUUGGCAUCUUGACAGGCCGUGCACCUGCAGUAUAUUCCAUACUGGGUCAUGAGUACAUCUGGCACCAGACAAAACAUUCUUACCCCAGGCCCGGAGCCCGUAUGAUGUCCUUCUGGAGAGAACGAGCAGUCACGGCAGCCUUCCGUCCUGGGAAUGAAACUGCUUUCAGUUUUCUUGCUGCUCUGUCCCUUUCCUUCAGGACAUUCUUAUGGUGCCUCCAGCUUCUUGUUCUCCAAUGGGUGAUCUCCUCUGGAGUGAAGAUUCAGCAUCUUCCCAGAUGACUAAGAAAUCAUCAUAGCCAACUUCAUUGAGGAAUGUGCUGAGAAUAUCCUGCUCUUUCUGACGUGCUUUUAUUUAGGAAGAGUUAACCUGGAAUCCUGUCUGCUCUCUCCUCUGCCCAUUCCACAUGACUUCCAGCGCUGUGCAGGGGUCUCGUCACCAGGACUCACCUGGAAUCACCAUGAACUCUUCCUCCAAGCUCCAUCUCCAGUGCCGCUCCUUUUACGAACCUUCUCUGGCCAUUUAAUGUGCUCCAUUUAGCUCUCUGGCCUCAUGUUAUUUGCAACAUUCCUAUUUCCUUUUCAAUCUCUGCUUUGUACUAUAAUCACCGAAGGGCAUGUCCAUUUCCCUCACUAGACAGCAAGUUCCUUGAGGGUACUGUUGUAUUUUACACAACUUUCUAUGUCAUAUAAAACUUCCCACCUGGGUAAUUCAACAAUAAAUGAACAGACACAAAGACAUGUAAGAGAAAAGAAUAUGGACAUAGUUCCAACUAUGUGCCCACAGUGUUAGAUUAAGAAAUGGCUCAUUACCAUGACCUUUGAAGUCCGGCAUGUGUCCCAUUGUCUUCGCUCUUCACUUAGAGGGAACGGUGAUUUUUCAUUUUUGACUGAUAAUUCCCAUGCUUCCUACAUAAUUUUAUUAUAUAUGUUCACAUUGCCAAAUACCUUUUUAUUGUAUGUAUUAUAUACAUUACAUAAAUUUAUAUAUAUAAAUAUAUAUUACAUAUAUAUUACAUUGUACAUAUAUAUAAUAAACUGUUUUUAAACACAUAAAAUUGGAAUCAUA